rnacentral:rRNA from 1 species
UACGGGGGGGGCAAGCGUUGUUCGGAAUUACUGGGCGUAAAGGGCUCGUAGGUGGCCAACUAAGUCAGACGUGAAAUCCCACGGCUCACCCGUGGAACCGCUGGGCAUACUGGGCGUCUUGGGCCAUUCAGGGGCAACUGGAACAAGCGGUGGAGCGGUGAAAUGCGUAGAUAUCGCUUGGAACGCCAAAGGUGAAAACAGGUUGCUGGGAAUGCGCCGACGCUGAGACACGAAAGCCAGGGGAGCAAACGGG